GAUGAACGCUAGCGGCAGGCUUAACACAUGCAAGUCGAGGGGUAGAGUUAGCUUGCUAACUUGAGACCGGCGCACGGGUGCGUAACGCGUAUGCAAUCUACCUUGUACAGAGGGAUAACCCAGAGAAAUUUGGAUUAAUACCUCAUAGUAUUAUUGAAUGGCAUCAUUUGAUUAUUAAAGUUCCAACGGUACAAGAUGAGCAUGCGUCCCAUUAGCUAGAUGGUAAGGUAACGGCUUACCAUGGCAACGAUGGGUAGGGGUCCUGAGAGGGAGAUCCCCCACACUGGUACUGAGACACGGACCAGACUCCUACGGGAGGCAGCAGUGAGGAAUAUUGGUCAAUGGGCGCAAGCCUGAACCAGCCAUGCCGCGUGCAGGAAGACGGCCCUAUGGAUUGUAAACUGCUUUUAUACGGGAAGAAACCCUGCUACGUGUAGCAGCUUGACGGUACCGUAAGAAUAAGCAUCGGCUAACUCCGUGCCAGCCGCCGCUGUAA
rnacentral:rRNA from 1 species